CUACAUGAAGCUGGAAUCGCUAGUAAUCGCAGAUCAGAAUGCCGCGGUGAAUACGUUCCCGGGUCUUGUACACACCGCCCGUCACACCAUGGGAGUCGGAAAUGCCCGAAGUCUGUGACCCAACCGGAAGGAAGGAGCAGCCGAAGGCAGGUCUGAUGACUGGGGUGAAGUCGUAACAAGGUACC
rnacentral:rRNA from 1 species